rnacentral:rRNA from 1 species
AGUGAACGCUGGCGGUAUGCCUAACACAUGCAAGUCGAACGGCAGCACAGUAAGAGCUUGCUCUUACGGGUGGCGAGUGGCGGACGGGUGAGGAAUACAUCGUAAUCUACUUUUUCGUGGGGGAUAACUUAGGGAAACUUACGCUACUACCUCAUACGACCUACCGGUGAAAGCAGGGGAUCUUCGUACCUUUCGCGCUUUAAUGAGCCGAUGUCGGAUUAGCUAGUUGGCGGGGUAAAGGCCAACCAAGGCGACGAUCCGUAGCUGGUCUGAGAGGAUGAUCAGCCACACUGGAACUGAGACACGGUCCAGACUCCUACGGGAGGCAGAAGUGGGGAAUAUUGGAAAAUGGGCGCAAGACUGAUCCAGCCAUACCGCGUGGGUGAAGAAGGCCUUCGGGUUGUAAAGCCCUUUUGUUGGGAAAGAAAAGCAGCAGGUUAAUACCCCGCUGUUCUGACGGUACCCAAAGAAUAAGCACCGGCUAACUUCGUG